AAAAAUAAAAAAAACGCUCCUCCCUCUCUCUAAAAGUAAAAGGUUUUGUUUUUCCUUUUCUUUGGGUGGCCGCUGGCAACACAUCUUCGGUUGGCGGCAAUCUCUCUUGUUUUUUUUUUUUUUUUUUUUUUUUUUUUUUUUUUUUUUUUUUUUUUUUUUUCAUCUUUUCUUCUGUUAGUCUUAUUUUAGUAUUUUAGUAGUUUUCUUUUCUCUUUUGUUUUGUUGUCCUUUAUUGGCCUUGUCCCGGUAUGUAUUUGCCCUCUUUCUCAAGACAGAUCCAUGGAUUUGCUCUUACUUUUUGGUUUUUAAUUACGGUCUUCUGAGCUUUUUAGUUUGAGGCAAUCGCUCAAGGAAGGUUUUGACAGCAAUUUUCUAUGGAAGUGGCUUGUACAAGGGAAAUCUGGUGCAUUCUCUACAUCAAUAUGAGUUUAUGCACUAUAUCUUAUUUGUUAAAGAUCAAAUCCAAACUUUGAAAAGCUGUCACAAAAGAAGCUUGGCACCAUGGUGCAUCGGUUGCUAGUGGGUUACUCUCCCUUCCCUUAGACAUAGGCUAUUUUAACAACCUUGUUUUUCUUCUAAAUCAAUCUUAUAUUCUCUUGGUUAUACCGGAUUACUUUACCUCUUGUAUUCUUGUUUUAUGAUAUUAAUAUAUUUUCCUGUUUGUGCAAAAAAAAAAAAAAAGAUCUUGAACAUUUGAUCUAAUAAGUAAAUUUCCUAUAGAUGUAGUCCAUUUCUG
rnacentral:lncRNA from 1 species